GCCACGGUGAAUGCAGGACAUUGUCUGUCGCGGCCGUCUCUGUCCUCGCCCGCCGCCCGCCACAGUCAACAUGGGUGCAGAGCCCGGCGUCCCCGGUGGGGAACAGCGUGGUGGGAAAGCGGAACGUUUACGAGACGAUAGAUUUAAGAAUGGCGCAGAGGUGCCGUUUCAAAACACAGAAUCAUUACCAACAAGGGAAUAAAACCACGGUGCUUGGCAUGAAGAUCUCCUUCCUUGAAGAUUCCAUGUAUUGCGGUAGUUGAAAAAGGCCAACUGUUACGGCGUAGUUUUGUCUUCAAGAUCUCUUUAAUUGGGAUCUAUGAUAAUUCAUCUGAAUAUUCUUUAAGAAUUUUAAGCAAAUAUAUGUAAGAUAUGAAAUAGCCUUGUUCUGGACAGUACAGCCUGUUUGUGUCUUAGUUUCCACAUGUGUAAAAAGUCGACCCUGGACUGGUAGCUUUCCACGUUUGCUCAAUUUGUUAAAAUAACUCGGAUUUUGAUCCUCGACUUAGAAUCCUGAUAUUUCCUCUGUAAGGGAUCCCAUCUCAAGACCUGGGAGUAGACGAGACCUUUUAAGAGCCCUGGAGGACAUCGUAGUUCUCAGCUUGUCUUUGAAAAUAUGUGGGAGUUACUUAAGCAGGGCUGUAAUCUUUCCGGGUGUAAUUUUGGAGUAAAGGAAAAUGAGAGCAGUAAAGAAAUGUAUGGAGAUCAAUCAGUUAUUACUCCACGGUUUUCUUUCAUCUUAAAUAAGUUUUCCAGUGAAGAGAAACAAGGAAAUUUUUAAAAAUAUUGUAGCAGCUUCCUCAGAUGACAAUUGUUCCCAGCCUCCUCACUCUCACCCAUCAUAAAAAAGCAGCAGUCAGCGUAAAGAAUAGCUCUCUCCAGAAGCGAAACAGAAAGUCAAGCAUCCCUAUCACCUGUUUUUUUUAAAGAAGCACCUGGCUUUUCCACCAUCUUGGACCCUGUGGAGGCCUGCUGGGAACGGGUCUCCGGAACCAGAGGGAGCACACAGCUCUUCUUAAAAUUGAAGGUGUUUACGCUCGAGAUGAAACAGAAUUCUGUCUAGGCAAGAGAUGUGCUUAUGUGUACAAAGCAAAGAACACCACAGUGACUCCUGGUGGCAAACCGAACAAAACCAGAGUCAUCUGGGGAAGGAAACUCAUGCUCAUGGAACCAGUGGCAUGGUUCGUGCUAAAUUCCGAAGCAACCUUCCUGCUAAGGCUAGGGGACACAGAAUCCAUGUAAUGUUGUACCCCUCAAGGGUUUAAACUUAACUGAAAAUAAAUAAAAUGGAUUU